ensembl:snRNA U4 U4 spliceosomal RNA
AUAGCAGUGGCAGUAUCAUAGCCAAUGAGGUGAAUCCGAGGUGUGAUUAUUGCUAGUUGAAAACUUCUAAUGUUACAUUCUCUGCACACACCAAAAUAUUGAAGGUCAUCAUUCCAUCCCCAUUCUUUGCGCAAAGGUCCCAUUGUUAACAAUAGGAGUUCCCAGACUCGAAUGA